rnacentral:rRNA from 1 species
AGAGUUUGAUCAUGGCUCAGGAUGAACGCUGGCGGCGUGCCUAAUACAUGCAAGUCGAGCGAAUCUAAGGGAGCUUGCUCCCAAAGAUUAGCGGCGGACGGGUGAGUAACACGUGGGCAACCUACCUGUAAGACUGGGAUAACUUCGGGAAACCGGAGCUAAUACCGGAUAACAUAUGAGACCACAUGGUCUUAUAUUAAAAGAUGGCUUCUUGCUAUCACUUACGGAUGGGCUCGCGGCGCAUUAGCUAGUUGGUGAGGUAACGGCUCACCAAGGCAACGAUGCGUAGCCGACCUGAGAGGGUGAUCGGCCACACUGGGACUGAGACAUGGCCCAGACUCCUACGGGAGGCAGCAGUAGGGAAUCUUCCGCAAUGGACGAAAGUCUGACGGAGCAACGCCGCGUGAGCGAAGAAGGUCUUCGGAUCGUAAAGCUCUGUUGUUAGGGAAGAACAAGUAUCGUUCGAAUAGGGCGGUACCUUGACGGUACCUAACCAGAAAGCCACGGCUAACUACGUGUCAGCAGCCGCGGUAAUACGUAGGUGGCAAGCGUUAUCCGGAAUUAUUGGGCGUAAAGCGCGCGCAGGCGGUCCUUUAAGUCUGAUGUGAAAGCCCACGGCUCAACCGUGGAGGGUCAUUGGAAACUGGGGGGACUUGAGUGCAGAAGAGGAGAGCGGAAUUCCACGUGUAGCGGUGAAAUGCGUAGAGAUGUGGAGGAACACCAGUGGCGAACGCGGCUCUCUGGUCUGUAACUGACGCUGAGGCGCGAAAGCGUGGGGAGCGAGCAUGAUUAGAUACCCUGGUAGUCCAC